rnacentral:rRNA from 1 species
UGGGGAAUUUUGCGCAAUGGGCGAAAGCCUGACGCAGCAACGCCGCGUGAGUGAUGAAGGCUUUCGGGUCGUAAAGCUCUGUCAAGGGGAAAGAAGUGUAUUGUGGUUAAUACCUGCGAUACUUGACGGUACCCCUGAAGGAAGCACCGGUUAACUCCGUGCCAGCAGCCGCGGUAAUACGGGGGGUGCAAGCGUUGUUCGGAAUUAUUGGGCGUAAAGCGCGUGUAGGCGGUUUGUUAAGUCUGAUGUGAAAGCCCUGGGCUCAACCCAGGAAGUGCAUUGGAUACUGGCAGACUUGAAUACGGGAGAGGGUAGUGGAAUUCCUGGUGUAGGAGUGAAAUCCGUAGAUAUCAGGAGGAACACCGGUGGCGAAGGCGGCUACCUGGACCGAUAUUGACGCUGAGACGCGAAAGCGUGGGUAGCAAACA